rnacentral:rRNA from 1 species
UACGGGGGGGGCGAGCGUUAUUCGGAAUCAUUGGGCGUAAAGGGCGCGUAGGCGGCUCGGCAAGUCUGGUGUGAAAUCUUCACAGCUCACCUGGAAGAGGUCACUGGAAACUGCUGAGCUUGAGGUCCGGAGAGGCCGAUGGAAUUCCCGGUGUAGCGGUGGGAUGCGUAGAUAUCGGGAAGAACACCAGUGGCGAAGGCGGUCGGCUGGACGGCACCUGACGCUGAGGCGCGAAAGUGCGGGGAGCAAACAGG